UACGGAGGGUGCGAGCGUUAAUCGGAAUUACUGGGCGUAAAGGGUGCGUAGGUGGUAGAUUAAGUUAUCUGUGAAAGUCCUGGGCUUAACCUGGGUUGGUCAGAUGAUACUGAUUUACUUGAGUAUAGGAGAGGGCAGUGGAAUUUCCGGUGUAGCGGUGAAAUGCGUAGAUAUCGGAAGGAACACCAGUGGCGAAGGCGGCUGUCUGGUCUAAUACUGACACUGAGGCACGAAAGCGUGGGGAGCAAACAGG
rnacentral:misc_RNA from 1 species